rnacentral:lncRNA from 1 species
GGGGCCUCCAGAAUGAGUGACUAGCCUCCCUUUACAGUCUCACCUGCUCAGCUCUGUGACUCCAAACUGCAGUGUUUUCUCUCUUCAGUGUUGAUGGCAUGGCUAGUGCUCAGUCAUCUGGUCACCACAACUCUACUGAGCCCCUCCCCUGGGUGCUGGACUGGCUCUAACACUGUGCGAACAGACAGAGGAAGGCUCAUGCUUGUGGAGCCAACGUUCUAAGUUGGGGAAGAGUCAAUGUAUGAAUUUUAAAAACAGUAAAACAAGAUCAUUUCAGAGAACGGAAGACAACAGCAAGCACGGGCCACCUGUGACCACGUGGACCCUAGGACCCAAGAGCAUGGCCCUGGAGCUGCCUGGCCCUACUGGCCUAGACUGGGCCUCGGCCACGCGCUCCUCACCUUCACAGUGGCAUUGCAGUACCGGGCACAGCCGCUCUUCAGGCUCCCAAACCUGCCACUGUAGACACAUCUGUGUGUGAAGAGUGCCUGGAGAAAGCCAAGGAGGGAAAGCAUGGCAGUCAGCAUGUUUAGGUCCUCCAGGCACUGCACACCCUCUGCAGACACUUGCCAUUGUACUUCCAUUUCACCACUGACGUCAGGAGAGAGUGCUGGACCACACUAGCAGACCUGGGUCUACAUCAGAGCUUGGACACCCUUUUUUAGGCCUGUUCCCUUGUUGGUGGAAUACAGGCCAGAGUUUGCAUCAUCCAUGGCCCACAGAUCUUUAUUCCCUCUUCCAUGCCACAGCAGAUGUCUCUAAGCAGAAAAUAUUUUCUGUUCAUUCUGGAUACGGUCUAGUCUCCCCUUCCGAUCUAUAGCCAUCCCUAAGAUCUCCUACAGAGACAUUUUGGAGCCCCCAAAGGGUCUAUCUACACUUCAUUGAAAGGUUUGCCAAACAAAAUUGUGAUAGUCUGAGUUUUUCUCUUAGGAGUGGGGCAGAUUUAUAUGCAUCCUUCCAUUCUAACCAACAAUGCCCACUCAUAAUUAUCUAGAACUCAUGUUUACUGAGAACAUUUUAUGGGCCAGACACAUUGCACAGAUGAGUUCAUCAAUCUUCAAUUCUAUGUGGAUGUUUCUCAUGCCAUUUUUUAUAGAUAAGGAAACAGGCCCAGACAGGUUAAAUCAUUUUUUCCAAGAAACACUGAUAGUAAGUAUAAGGUCUAGAGAAUGGGUCUUAUCACGUACAGACUUUAGGAUCACAGUCAUGUAGCCUCUGUGGGCCUCAGCUGCCUAAUUUAUAAAAUAUCAAGAAAAUAUUGAUGAGACAAUAAUGCUGAUUUCAAGUUUUGUCACGAGAAUUUAGUCUCUGGUUCAAAUUUUGUUUUAGAUAAUUGUUGAUGUCAAGCUUAUCCCUUCAUCUUAGGCUGUUGCUCAAGAAGAGGGCAAUGAGACUUUCCUAGGCUAUAAAAUCCUAAAAUAUUAGCUAUAUGAAGGAAUUCUGAGGUCACUGAGGAAGGAGCACUACAGUCCUUUUGGGAAUCUCAGGAUAAUUAACCAGGUGUGGGUCACAGGAUUCCCGGGAUGGGUGAUUUGAGGGCUUCUUUUGGCUCCUACCCAUGUGUCUAAUUUCCCUUUCUUUUCCCUCUUCCUUCUCUUUCCCUGGGCUGAGACAAUCAUAGAAUGGUGAUUAAACAUGUAGAACAAAUCAUGGUUCUGCCACAUCAGCUGUGUGACCUUGUACAAGGUGGUUUACGUUUCCUUGCCUUAGUGCCCUAAUCAUACAUUGGUUAUGGUGAUAAUAUACCCACCUCGUGGGGCUGCUGCAUAAAGCAUUUAGAACAAUGUCUGGCACACAGCAAUCACUGUGACACCAGCCAACACAAUUUCCUCUUCUCCUCCCUCUCACAUUCCCUGCUUGACAGCAUCCUGAAGGACUCAGGGGUAAUGCCUUUGUUAAGCAAAAUAAAUAUCUGAACACCUGCA